rnacentral:rRNA from 1 species
AGCGAACGCUGGCGGCAGGCCUAACACAUGCAAGUCGAACGGUCCUUCGGGACAGUGGCGGACGGGUGAGUAACACGUGGGAACGUGCCUUUAGGUUCGGAACAACCCAGGGAAACUUGGGCUAAUACCGGAUGUGCCCUUCGGGGAAAGGAUUUAUCGCCUUUAGAGCGGCCCGCGUCUGAUUAGCUUGUUGGUGAGGUAAUGGCUCACCAAGGCUACGAUCAGUAGCUGGUCUGAGAGGAUGACCAGCCACACUGGGACUGAGACACGGCCCAGACUCCUACGGGAGGCAGCAGUGGGGAAGUCUUGCGCAAUGGGCGAAAGCCUGACGCAGCCAUGCCGCGUGGAUGAUGAAGGUCUUCGGGUUGUAAAGCCCUUUUCUGGAGGAAGAUGAUGACGGUACUCCAGGAAGAAGCACCGGCUAACUACGUGCCAGCAGCCGCGGUAAG